rnacentral:rRNA from 1 species
AGAACGAACGCUGGCGGCAUGCCUAAUACAUGCAAGUCGAACGAACUCUUCGGAGUUAGUGGCGCACGGGUGCGUAACGCGUGGGAAUCUGCCCCUUGGUUCGGAAUAACAGUUGGAAACGACUGCUAAUACCGGAUGAUGACGAAAGUCCAAAGAUUUAUCGCCAAGGGAUGAGCCCGCGUAGGAUUAGCUAGUUGGUGAGGUAAAGGCUCACCAAGGCAACGAUCCUUAGCUGGUCUGAGAGGAUGAUCAGCCACACUGGGACUGAGACACGGCCCAGACUCCGUACGGGAGCAGCAGUAGGGAAUAGUUGGACAAUGGGACGAAAGCCUAGAUCCAGCAACUGCCGACGUGAGUGA